AGGGCUUUAGUUUAAUAAAAACAUUUGACUUGCACUCAGAAAAUGUGGAGUAGCAUCUGCAGGCCCUA
rnacentral:tRNA from 1 species